UACGUAGGGGCAAGCGUUAUCCGGAUUUACUGGGUGUAAAGGGAGCGCAGACGGAACUGCAAGUCUGAUGUGAAAGCCCGGGGCUCAACCGCGGGACUGCAUUGGAAACUGUAGAUCUGGAGUGCCGGAGGGGCAAGCGGAAUUCCUGGUGUAGCGGUGAAAUGCGUAGAUAUCAGGAGGAACACCGGCGGCGAAGGCGGCUUGCUGGACGGCAACUAACGUUGAGGCUCGAAAGCGUGGGGAGCAAACAGGAUUAGAUACCCUGGUAGU
rnacentral:rRNA from 1 species